CCCUUAGAUGUUCUGGGCUGCACGCGCGCUACACUGACGCACGCAACAGGUGCCUGCUCCGAGAGGACUGGGUAAUCAUUUGAGUGUGCGUCGUGAUGGGGAUAGAAUAUUGUAAUUAUUACUCUUCAACGAGGAAUUCCUAGUAAGCGCCAGUCAGCAGCUUGCGCUGAUUACGUCCCUGCCCUUUGUACACACCGCCCGUCGCUCCUACCGAUGGGUGAUCCGGUGAAUGAUUCGGACUUCAGCGGCUCCCCUGGGGUGCGCCGGAGAAAGUUUUGUGAACCUCAUCACUUGGAGGAAGGAGAUGUCGUAACA
rnacentral:rRNA from 1 species